UUUGAUCCUGGUUCAAGGAUGACCGUUAGCGGCCAGGCUUUACCACAUGCAAGUCGAGGGGCAGCAUGUCCAGCAAUGGAUGAUGGCGACCGGCGGGAAGGGUGCGUAACGCGUGAGCAACAUGCCCUAUACAGGGAGAUACACCAGGGAAACUUGGUCUAAUAUCCCAUAGCAUUCAUUGAAGGCAUCUUUAAUGAAUUAAAGCUUCGGUGGUAUAGGAUUGGCUCGCGUGACAUUAGCCAGAUGGUGAGGUAACGGCUCACCAUAGCAAUGAUGUCUAGGGGUUUUGAGAGGAAGGCCCCCCACACUGGGACUGAGACACGGCCCAGACUCCUACGGGAGGCAGCAGUGAGGAAUAUUGGACAAUGGAUGGAAAUCUGAUCCAGCCAUGCCGCGUGCAGGAAGACGGCCUUAUGGGUUGUAAACUGCUUUUAUACGGGAGCAAUAAGGGUUACGAGUAAUCCGAUGAGAGUACUGUAUGAAUAAGGAUCGGCUAACUCCGUGCCAGCAGCCGCGGUAAUACGGAGGAUCCGAGCGUUAUCCGGAAUUAUUGGGUUUAAAGGGUGCGUAGGCGGCCAUUUAAGUCAGCGGUGAAAUUUUGCAGCUUAACUGUAACAGUGCCGUUGAUACUGUUUGGCUAGGAUUUGGUUGUAGUGUGCGGAAUGUGUGGUGUAGCGGUGAAAUGCUUAGAUAUCACACAGAACACCGAUUGCGAAGGCAGCACACUAAGUCAUUAUUGACGCUGAGGCACGAAAGUGUGGGGAUCAAACAGGAUUAGAUACCCUGGUAGUCCACACUGUAAACGAUGAUAACUCGCUGUCGGCGAUACACAGUCGGUGCCAAGCGAAAGC
rnacentral:rRNA from 1 species